CAGGGGUGGGGGGGGGGGGGGGGGGAGGAGUGAUGGGAGGACGGAAGCCUGGCCAAACCUUCUGGUCCCCAGUGCCGCUGUUUGCCAUUGGCCAGGCAGCUGUCCCAGGAAAGGACUGGGUGGCUCCAUGUCCUCAAGGUCAGCUGCAGGCAGCUUUCCCGGGGCCUGUCCCGGACACCCACGCCUGCCAGACUUGGGCCUGCCCUUUCCAGAUAUACAAAGUAGGGGAGAAUCAGCAGCCAAGCCCUUUUUAAAGAGGAAGUCAGCCCUGCCUUGGCUCCAGCCCGCUCUGGGCAUAUAAUCAAGGAAAGCACAAAAUUGAGUGAGUGCCCCUCUGCCUGGAGGGGGCCCUCUCCACCUUGGCCGACCCCGUCUUUCCCCCAGGCCAGCUGGAGACAUCGCUCAGAGUCCUGCUCAGAGGAUGGGCCUCUGGUGGACCAGGAGGUGCUCUGGAAUAUGCUGACAAACCGGGGGGAGUGAGGACGUGCUCACCAUGGCAUGGCAAUGCAUGGCAUGGCAUGGCAUGGCUGGGGCCAUGUCUCUGAGGAGGGGACACAGCAGCCGAGGGUGGAAGAGACAGCAGGUAGUGAGCAGGAGGAAGGGCGACCACACCGGGAGCACCUCAGUGGCUCAGGAAGGCUCCGUCUUUCCACCUCAUUAAGACGGCUGUGGGGAGGGAGGUGGGACACACCCACUGCCUCCCCUUUCCUUCUGCACCUGGCUGGUGGACAGAUCUGCAGUCCAGACCCCUCAGAUCCAAUCCCACGGCUCACUUCUCUCUCCAGGGGAGUGUUCUGGCCCAGAACGUGAACCGUCUCGGAGCGUUCCACGCGAGCUUACGGAGAAUGUGUGUGCUGCCACUGUUGAGUGAAGUGGCCUACAGUCCAAUAGAGACUGGAUUCAGGACUAUGAUGGACGGCCUUAACCGUGUCCUUCGUGAUUCUCUGCCCCCUGCCAGCGGGGUGUUGAAAUGUCCCACCGCAGUAGCGGAUUCAUCUGUUUCUCUCUUGUCGUUGCCUUGACAUCUGUUUUAUCUGAUAUCAACAGAGUGAUGCCAGUCUUAUUUUUAAUCAGCGUUUACAUAAUAUGCCUUUCAUCCAUUAUUUUAUUUUUAGCCUUUCUGUGUGUCCUUAUGAUGUACUUGUGUCUCAUAUAAACAGCAUAUAGCUGUGUUGCGUUCGCUUUUUUAUUCAAAAAAUAAAAUCUUUGUUAACUGGGAUAUUCUGUCCAUUAUCGUUGAAUAAAACUCAUUGAUACGUUU